UACGGAGGAUGCAAGCGUUAUCCGGAAUUAUUGGGCGUAAAGCGUCCGUAGGUGGCGAAUCAAGUCUGUUGUCAAAUCGUGCAGCUUAACUGCAUACGGGCGAUGGAAACUGGUUUGCUAGAGUGCGAUAGGGGUCACAGGAAUUCCCAGUGUAGCGGUGAAAUGCGUAGAUAUUGGGAAGAACACCAGCGGCGAAAGCGUGUGACUGGGUCUGCACUGACACUGAGGGACGAAAGCUAGGGGAGCGAAAGGG
rnacentral:rRNA from 1 species